AAGGGAUUACAGCAGAUCAUACAGCUUGGAGGAGAAGAGUAAAACAGAUGCAUUGAAUGAAGAUCUCACAGUGACAUGAAAAAGAGGCAAAGCUUUGUGUGCUGGAAAACUUAGAGGAUUCUCCUUCAUUGUGGAAGGUUUGGACUGGGCCUUAAAGAUUGAGGACCUAUUGGGAACCAUUAGACUUUGGCCAAUCACGAGACUAUAUGAACUGCAUAUAGUAAAAAUAUAUUGAUAGUAAUAUAGUUUGGUUUUUAUUUAAUAAACUAAGAAGAAAAGAUGAGUUUGGGGUCAAAGAGCAGAAGGGAGAAAGGAAGGGCAAAGGGAAGGGGAAAGAAUAGAGACAUAAGAGAAAAAUCAGUAAGCAGACUUGAGAAAGGUAAGACUGGAAUCUUUGUACAAUAGGUCUGUUUUUCUAGUGACUUUUUAAUUGUAAUAAUUUCCAUUUUUCUGAUUUCAAAAUAAGGUACAUAUGAUUAAAAAUGUAAAUUAUGUUUAAAGUAAAAUUAAGAUAUGAAUAAUAAAUUAAUACUAAUAAUGACUGCCUACAUCAUACAUUUGGACACAAAGUAUAGUCCAGGAGCACCUGGGAUUCCCAAAGAAACUUUCAGGCAGUCAGGUAGAAACCGCUUUCAUAAUAAUACUGAAACUAUAUUUGACUCUUUCACUCUCAUUCUUUCCUGUGCAUUCUAUUGCAGAGGCUAAAUGUACGCCAUUGUUCUGACAGAUCACUGAAAGUGUGUCUGUGUAUUCUUGUGUUUCAAAAGGUUCUGCUUAAAUUUAUAAUAUAAUAAAUAUAAGUAGUUAGGUUUGACAUAAAUAAAAGCUUUUGACAUUCUCAAUAAUUUUUAAGAGCCUACGACACAAAGUUUGAUAACCAGUGACUAAGAAUUUCUUAUAUUCAGAUCCAAUUCUUUCUAGUCUUCUAGUGUGUGUACGGGUGUCAUUCAAAAAUAGUGACUUUAAAAAUAUAUGUCAUUUAAAAUAUAUAUAUACUUAUAGAAUAAGUGUAAAUAUAUGGGUGUAUAUAUAUUUGUGGUAUUUUAAACCUAUUUAAUUUAAAUUUGUAUUAUAG
rnacentral:lncRNA from 1 species